GAGCCUGAGAAACGGCUACCACAUCCAAGGAUGGCAGCAGGCGCGCAAAUUACCCAAUCCCGACACGGGGAGGUAGUGACAAUAAAUAACAAUACGGGGUUCUUUAGGAUCUCGUAAUUGGAAUGAGUACAAUUUAAAUCUCUUAACGAGGAACAAUUGGAGGGCAAGUCUGGUGCCAGCAGCCGCGGUAAUUCCAGCUCCAAUAGCGUAUAUUAAAGUUGUUGCAGUUAAAAAGCUCGUAGUUGAAUUUCGGGGUUAGUAGGUUGGUCAUGCCUCUGGUAUGUACUGGUCUCACUGAUUCCUCCUUCCUUAUGAACCGUAAUGCCAUUAAUUUGGUGUUGCGGGGAAUUUGGAUUGUUACUUUGAAAAAAUUAGAGUGUUUAAAGCAAGCUAACGCUUGAAUACAUUAGCAUGGAAUAAUGAAAUAGGACGUUCGAUCUUAUUUUGUUGGUUUCUAGGAUUGACGUAAUGAUUAAUAGGGAUAGUUGGGGGCGUUAGUAUUCAAUUGUCAGAGGUGAAAUUCUUGGAUUUAUUGAAGACUAACUACUGCGAAAGCAUUUGCCAAGGAUGUUUUCAUUAAUCAAGAACGAAAGUUAGGGGAUCGAAGACGAUCAGAUACCGUCGUAGUCUUAACCAUAAACUAUGCCGACUAGGGAUCGGAUGAUGUUAAUUUUUUAAUGACUCAUUCGGCGCCUUACGGG
rnacentral:rRNA from 1 species